AGUGAACGCUGGCGGUAGGCCUAUCACAUGCAAGUCGAACGGCAGCACAGUAAGAGCUUGCUCUUACGGGUGGCGAGUGGCGGACGGGUGAGGAAUAUAUCGGAAUCUACUUUUUCGUGGGGGAUAACGUAGGGAAACUUACGCUAAUACCGCAUACGACCUACGGGUGAAAGCAGGGGAUCUUCGGACCUUGCGCGAUUGAAUGAGCCGAUGUCGGAUUAGCUAGUUGGCGGGGUAAAGGCCCACCAAGGCGACGAUCCGUAGCUGGUCUGAGAGGAUGAUCAGCCACACUGGAACUGAGACACGGUCCAGACUCCUACGGGAGGCAGCAGUGGGGAAUAUUGGACAAUGGGCGCAAGCCUGAUCCAGCCAUACCGCGUGGGUGAAGAAGGCCUUCGGGUUGUAAAGCCCUUUUGUUGGGAAAGAAAAGCAGCAGGUUAAUACCCCGCUGUUCUGACGGUACCCAAAGAAUAAGCACCGGCUAACUUCGUG
rnacentral:rRNA from 1 species